GUACCUAUUCUGUGGUUUUGCUUCCAUUUUUCAGAGUUUUGAGGUUUGGUUUGACGUGUUUACCACUUCACUGUUGUACUUUUUAAUCAAAAACGUUAUUAAAGAUAAUUGUUGUUUAAAAAGAUAGAAUAGCAAUCACAAAUAUUGCAGUGAAUAAAUUGUAAAUUUCAUAAUGUUUCAAUCUUCUUACUUUGCGUAAGCAGUGUACCGGUAGCGUUGUAGCUUUUGAGUUUUGAUUAAGCUGAAAAAAUGAAUCCUACCGAAGCUGAACUGAGUGGAAGUGGAGGGGCUCCGCCAGCCGUCAGAUUCCCGGCGGUUCUGGCUCCGCCUCCGCCCUUGGCUCCACCCUUGGCUCCACCCUUGGCUCCACCCUUGGCACCAGCCUUCAUUGCGCCCCCAGGUCUGCUGCCCCCUGGGCCGCCCAUGCCGUUCCACCCGCUGCCUCCUCCUGCAUUCGGAUUUCCUCCGGCUGGAGAACCUCCGCCAUCGGCUGAUCUACCGGUGGUUGUACCUCCACCUGCUGCCCUCCUAUCUCCCGGCUUACCUGUUAGCGCUCCCGAUGAUGCUGCCAACACCGACGUGGAAAAGAAAUGCGAUUGGACGGAACACAAAGCUCCCGAUGGUCGCAUCUACUACUACAACACUGCUACAAAACAAAGUCUUUGGGAGAAGCCAGAUGAACUGAAAACCCCUGCUGAGCUUCUACUUUCCAAAUGUCCAUGGAAAGAAUACAAGUCGGAAUCAGGAAAGGCAUACUAUUACAACGUGACGACAAAGGAGUCCAGAUGGACUAUUCCAAAACAGCUAGAGCAACUUAAAACUAAAAUUGAAGAAGGAAAAGCUGAGGCAUUGGCAAAGUCUAAAGGAAAGACAGAGUUGGGUUCAGGUGUAGGUGUGGGAGCAGGAGAUGGAGACUGUGAUGCGACGCCACCAGUGAGCAGCACGGGGUCGUCGGCCCUGGACCAGGCAAUGGCUGCCACCCUCGCUGCUAUCAACAUUCCAACGCCGCCCUCCAAAAUCGAUGAAGAUAGUAACUCGCAGCACCCGCCUUCCGGUCCAGAAAGUAGAACGAGCACUCCAGAGCCGAAACUACAGUUCAAGGAUAAAAAAGAGACACUCGAAGCAUUCAAGGAUUUACUAAAAGAAAGAGAGGUGCCCAGCAACGCUACGUGGGAAAUGGCUGUGAAAAUGAUCUCGUCCGAUCCAAGAUAUCCGCUUUUGAAGCAUUUCAACGAGAAGAAGCAGGCGUUCAACGCUUACAAAACCCAAAAAUUGAAGGAGGAGAAGGAAGAACAGAGAAUGCGAGCGAAAAAAGCCAAAGAGGAUCUAGAAGAGUUUCUUAUGACAACCGAUAAAAUUACGUCAACCACUCGCUACUAUCGCUGUCAGGAACUGUUCGGAGAAUUGGAGGUGUGGUCGGUAGUCAAUGAUUCAGAGCGUAGAGACAUCUACGAGGAUUGUGUUUUCAAUCUGGCGAAACGUGAAAAAGAAGAAGCUAAAACCAGGAAAAAACGAAACAUGCGCGAACUUGCCAGUAUUUUGGACUAUAUGCAGGGAAUUGAGCAUCGCACCACUUGGCAGGAGGCUCAACAACUUUUGCUCGAUAAUCCGACUUUCGUAGAAGAUGCUAGUUUAUUAGCUAUGGAUAAGGAAGAUGCUUUGAUUGUAUUCGAGGAGCAUAUAAGGUCAUUGGAGAUCGAGGAAGAAGAGGAGAAAGAGAUUGAAAAGAGACGGCAAAAGAGGCUACAAAGGAAGAACAGAGAUAAUUUUGGAAUCUUAUUAGAUGAAUUGCACGAGGAAGGAAAACUAACAUCGAUGUCACUCUGGGUGGAGCUCUAUCCAAUUAUCAGCUCCGACCUUCGAUUUUCAGCCAUGCUGGGCCAACCAGGCUCUACACCACUAGAUCUUUUCAAGUUCUAUGUUGAAGAUUUGAAGUCCAGGUUCCACGAUGAAAGAAAAAUCAUCAAAGAAAUUUUAAAAGAGAAAGGAUUUGACGUCGAGAUUAACACGUCGUUUGAAGAAUUCGCCACUGUAGUUUGCGAAGACCAGAGGUCAGCUACAUUGGAUGCUGGCAAUGUCAAGCUGACCUACAAUGCUCUUCUUGAAAAGGCAGAUGCAAGGGAAAGAGAGAGGCUGAAAGAAGAGACGCGACACCAGCGAAAACUAGAGUCUGCGUUUCGCGCGCUGCUCCGGGACAACGAUGUCGACUACAACAGCAACUGGGAUGACGUCAGAGAAAAAUUGCAAAUGGAGGAUGCGUUCUGCGCCAUCACCACCGAAUCGGAGCGCAUGCGUAUAUUCAAGGACUUCCAACACGAGACAGAAGAAGCUUGCAGCCAUCAUCAUUCCCGUUCAAAGAAGUCACGGAAAAAUAAAAAGCAGAAGAAACGAUCUCGAUCGAAAUCUUAUUCGGAUUCAGAUUCUGAUAGAGGACACAGCAAGAAGAAGAAGAGGCACCGUUCAAAGAGUGAAUCAGAAAGCUCUGACUCCGAACACAAGAGGCGCAAUAAACGCAAAAAGUCCAAGAAGAAGCGAGCACACUCCAGAUCACAUUCGACUGAAUCUUUUGAAUCAGAGGAAAAAUGAUGUCAAGUGGUUAAAGAAUAUUUGUAAUUUCUCGAGUAAAAUCAAGUUCAAGUUCAUAUUUUGGCAAAACAGUAUUAUAAGACUUCAGAUUUUUUGCAUUGUGUUCUCCGAUCUCGCGUACUGGUUCAGACGAAGGCCGCAAGGGUGCGGUGGUGAGCGAUGACGUCAUCGGGGCGGUGCUGAAAGAUGAAGGCAAGGUGGGUGGUGGAGGGGCGGGGGGUGAGGACAGCGACGAUGAAUUGGAGCGCAGGCGCAAUGCGCUCCUACAACAACUGCACGAAGAAACUGAUUGAAAACACUAUUCGUACUGCUAUUUCAUUAUAAGUUGCCAAAUAAUAUAUUAUGUGUCCUUAUAAAAUAUUUAAAAUUUCGCCUGUUUACUAAUGUUAUUGAACAUGUCAAACACCAUUUUUAGUCUUCUAAAAUAAGUCUCAACAUUCAAGGUACAGGACAAAGUUUAGAACCGUAGAACAAUGGCAAGACAAAUCUUUUUAAACACAAAUUUUUAGAACAUUAAAUGUGAAGUAUUUGAUUAUUUAAAAAUGCCAAUACAUUUUACUUUUCAUAAUGAAUCUCAAGAAAUUUGAUUUUUUCUCCUACGACAAAAUUUAAUCUUUAUGGAGACGUAUUCUAUGUUUGAUAUUUCAGACUAGUAAGUCGAGGAGAUUCGAUCUUUGUAAACUACACACUAUGUCAUAGUCCAGUCAAGGAAAUAUUAUAGAAAGAAAAGUUUGGAAGACAAUUUUUGACCACGCAGUUCUGUUUAGGGUAGUAAGGAGGUGAACAUAUCAAAAGUCCCCACCCCUACCCACUGUGUUAAGGGGGUGGGAGUGGUUCAAAGGUACCGUUCUCGCAUACAACUCGAAAGCUAUGUAUCUUACUGAUAAAACUAUUCUAUACAAAA
rnacentral:misc_RNA from 1 species